GGCGGUUGUGGCGCAGUUGGUAGCGCGGGUUGUCCACUAAUCAUAGGGUGCGUGGUUCGAUUCCCGGUGACGCCA